rnacentral:rRNA from 1 species
AACGAACGCUGGCGGCGCGCCUAACACAUGCAAGUCGAACGGUCCUCGGGGCUUCGGCCCUGUGGAUAGUGGCGGACGGGUGAGUAACGCGUGGGGACCUGCCCCGAGCACUGGGACAACCGCGGGAAACUGCGGCUAAUACCGGAUGAUGCCGCUCGCGAGAGCGGCCAAAGUCCUGAUCUUCGGAUCGGGGCGGCUUGGGAGGGGCCCGCGUCCGAUUAGCUGGUUGGUGGGGUAACGGCCCACCAAGGCUGUGAUCGGUAGCUGGUCUGAGAGGACGAUCAGCCACACUGGGACUGAGACACGGCCCAGACUCCUACGGGAGGCAGCAGUGGGGAAUCUUGGACAAUGGGGGCAACCCUGAUCCAGCGACGCCGCGUGGGUGAUGAAGGCCUUCGGGUUGUAAAGCCCUUUCGACGGGGACGAUGAUGACGGUACCCGGCGAAGAAGCACCGGCUAACUCCGUGCCAGCAGCCGCAGUAAAAC